AAUAGAUACCCGGGUAGUCCACGCCGUAAACGAUGGGUACUAGGUGUGGGAGUUGUCAUGACUUCCGUGCCGCCGUUAACACAAUAAGUACCCCGCCUGGGGAGUACGGUCGCAAGAUUAAAACUCAAAGGAAUUGACGGGGGCCCGCACAAGCAGCGGAGCAUGUGGUUUAAUUCGAAGCAACGCGAAGAACCUUACCUAGACUUGACAUCUCCUGAAUUACCCUUAACCGGGGAAGCCCUUCGGGGCAGGAAGACAGGUGGUGCAUGGUUGUCGUCAGCUCGUGUCGUGAGAUGUUGGGUUAAGUCCCGCAACGAGCGCAACCCUUAUUAUUAGUUGCUUACCAUUAAGUUGAGCACUCUAGUAAGACUGCCCGGGUUAACCGGGAGGAAGGUGGGGAUGACGUCAAAUCAUCAUGCCCCUUAUGUCUAGGGCUACACACGUGCUACAAUGGUAGGUACAACAAGAUGCAAAGCCGUGAGGCGGAGCAAAACUGUAAAACCUAUCCCAGUUCGGAUUGAAGGCUGAAACUCGCCUUCAUGAAGCCGGAGUUGCUAGUAAUCGACG
rnacentral:rRNA from 1 species